rnacentral:rRNA from 1 species
GGUUCUGGCAUCGAUGAAGAACGCAGCAAAAUGCGAUAAGUAAUGUGAAUUGCAGAAUUCAGUGAAUCAUCGAAUCUUUGAACGCACAUUGCGCCCGCCAGUAUUCUGGCGGGCAUGCCUGUUCGAGCGUCAUUUCAACCCUCAAACCCCCGGGUUU